GACGAACGCUGGCGGCGUGCUUAACACAUGCAAGUCGAACGGAAAGGCCCUGCUUUUGUGGGGUGCUCGAGUGGCGAACGGGUGAGUAGCACGUGAGUAACCUGCCCUUGACUUUGGGAUAACUUCAGGAAACUGGGGCUAAUACCGGAUAGGAGCUCCUGCUGCAUGGUGGGGGUUGGAAAGUUUCGGCGGUUGGGGAUGGACUCGCGGCUUAUCAGCUUGUUGGUGGGGUAGUGGCUUACCAAGGCUUUGACGGGUAGCCGGCCUGAGAGGGUGACCGGCCACAUUGGGACUGAGAUACGGCCCAGACUCCUACGGGAGGCAGCAGUGGGGAGUAUUGCACAAUGGGCGGAAGCCUGAUGCAGCAACGCCGCGUGCGGGAUGACGGCCUUCGGGUUGUAAACCGCUUUCGCCUGUGACGAAGCGUGAGUGACGGUAAUGGGUAAAGAAGCACCGGCUAACUACGU
rnacentral:rRNA from 1 species